rnacentral:misc_RNA from 1 species
AAAUUACCUCCCUUCCGUAAUCCCUGCAGGCUGAAACAGGCAUAUCUCCCUUCUCGAGUACGAGGGGUUUUCGCUGCGGAAAAACACUAAAAUAAAGGGAGUUUAAUGGCUGUUAGGGAUGUAAAUUUAACACCAUAGGCCAAACAGCGAUCACCCCUUGUGAAGUAAAAACUUACGGAAGACUCUAUAUGUAACACUUCCCAAGGGAAGUAAAGUAUUCAACUAAACAUUUGGAGUUUUUCAAAUCAUCAGAAAAAAACAAAAGUAUGGAAAUUGGCCUGAAAAUUGAGCCUGGCUCAGUAAGAUCUUUGAGCACAGUUGGUAUGUCAGAAUCUGGUAUCACCGUACAGCUAGAAUCUGGGUCUGUGCCAUCCACGGUUCCUGCUCAAAGUACACAGACAGGACAGAAAGCUUCACUUAUCAAUCAGAUUGCCGCACAGCUUGCCAACAGUAAAGCAUCACAGUCACAAAGCACAUCACCCAAUGUUUCGAUUGCUCCUGCGCCUUUGUCCAAUGGAAAUGAAAAAAGCAAAAAUCCUGUAGGUGAAACCGCCCAGCUUGCCAAUAGUAAAGCAUCCCAGUCUCAAAGCACAUCACCCAAUGUUUCGCUAGCUCUUGGGCCAUUGUCCAAUGGAAACGAAAAAAGCAAAAAUCCUAUAGUUGCUACUAUGACGGAAGCCUUAUCUUUAAAGCAGUCACCGACGCUAACUAAACAGUUAUCAAAACCUGUAAGUGGUACAUCAACUGGCAUGCAGGUAAUAACGCAAUAUAUGUGCCGUUAUUGUGGACAGCAGUUUGAAUCAACCAAUGACAUGCAACUUCACAUUCAGGAACACGUCUCUGGCAAAGCGCCUCAUGAAUGCUCAGUUUGUGGUAAGACGUAUCGUACUCCGUCCAAACUCCAGCGCCAUGUUCGUGUGCACAGUGGGGAACGUCCAUAUGCCUGUUCAAUUUGUGGUCGAAGAUUUACCCGCAGUGACCAUGUUAAGCAGCACAUGAAAGUACAUUGUCAGCCGAAAGAUGCAAAUGUGUGUCACCUGUGUAAUGAUAUGAAGUUCAGCAGACGACAAGCUUUACAUCUUCAUCUUCAGCAGCAACAUCUAAUGCAACAGGUAUUCACAUGUCACAGAUGUGGAGAAGCUUUUGAAUCUUUGGAAGAAAUGCAAUCUCACAAGUUAACACAUGAUACUGUGUUAAACAGCCUUAAGGAUAGCACAAGUGUCCAGCCAUACCAGAAUUCUAUAGCAAAAUUUGCAUUAGGCCAACAGAAGAAUGAGCAUGGUAUGAACAAAUAUGAUACGAUCAAAGCAGAAGAUGAAAACAAACCAGGGGGAGUUGUUCUCAAAGUACCUAACAACAAUGGAUUCUAUAUCCCAGCUAACUUAGAUAAUGUGUCAGCACUCAGCAGUAAACUGCUUAUGGAGGGAAUGGAAAUGAUGGCCAAGGAGGCAGCAGAAUUGGAAGUUCAAAAGAAAUAUCAAGCAGAAUUGGAACAACUUACUGCUGAUGCUAAGAAAUUUCAGUUAGAUCAGAAGAAAAGAAUUGAAGAAAUGGAAAGAGCAAAAAUUGCAGAAUGCUUUACAAUUAAAGCUACAACACCAAGCCACUCUCCAAGUCUAAGUGAGCAGAAAUUGGUUAUAAAUGAAUCAAGUGAUUCAAGUAUUGAUAUUGUGGCUGGGAAAGAAACAACAACAGUUGUCAAUGGAGAUGGGAUGUCCAUGUUUAUCUUGCCAGCAUCUCUUGAAUAUGGUAAUAAAGAUAUGGAGAAAAGUGAGUCAGAAAUGGAAGCAGAUGAUGCAGAAAGUGAACAAAACUCAUCUAAGGACUCUGUUGGAAUAAAUCGGGAAGGAGACGGUGAAAAAAGUGAAGGUGAUGGAAGUGAAAGGAUGGAUUGUACUGAUGAUACUGAAGAACAGUCGGGAGACGAUACAAGAUCAAAGGAGGGCAAAAUCUCUAAAUCAGCAAAGAUAGAGGGUUAUACAAAGCCAUGUCCAAAAUCAAAGAAACCGGGCUAUGUAGCGCCAGCAAGUCAAAGCACUGAAACAAAGACAGUUUCUAGUGAAGAUUACCAAAGUUCUUCUGCAAAACCAAUGCUAUCAUUGCUGAAUCCACGUAUAAAUGAACUCAUUAAAGCAAAAGUUGAACAUAACAUGAGCCACAGUCAGAAUCAAAAUCAAACAACCUUCAUCGUGACAAACCCAGCGAUAAAUCAGCAAUUACCGAAACUGACUUUCAUACCAAAUGUUGCAGGGAACAAGUAUUCUCCCAUUGCAAAUCUACCAACUAUAUUGCCAGCUCCAAGUACCUCCACUGUGGCCUUUGCUUCGACUGGUACCCUGCCUUCUCAACCAGUGGGUCAGAAAUUGAAAGCAGAAACACCAAAGCUUAUCAAAUGUGAAUAUUGUUGUAUUUAUUUUGAAGACAAUGCAAUGAGUAUGCUACACAAUACUCUUCACUCCGCUGACAACGCAGACCCAUUCACAUGCAGGAAAUGCUUCAAGAAGCUUGGCAACCGACUAGAAUUUAUGGCUCAUAUGGUUUGGCAUUUAGAACCAAAUAUGGAUAUAUAGGCACAUACUGCAAUAUUUAGACUUUUGCUACAAAUUAUUUAGUUGUAAUAUAUUUUAUUAUUGCAAUUGUUUAUAGUCAUGAAAUUAUUCUAGUGAUUUGAGAAUGGUUUUGUUUUUCCUUCAAGAGGUUUAUAGAAGUACCAGUAACUAUUUGAGGUUUUGUUUGAAGAUAGGUACUAAGGUUAAGACGCGUAGUUAUUUAUAAGUGGCAGUGAUUCAUUUUGAGCUUGACUAUUCGAAGAAUAGAGCUAUUGCACUCACUUGUUUGUUUGCGUAAAGUUUGAUUUGGUUAAGUUUUUUAUGUAAGCUGAUAUCCAAGUUCUCACAAAUGAGAAUGGGUUGAAACUUGACAAACUUGUUCACAGUGAUGAUUUGACAUGCUGUACAUAAGUUCUAUAACUCUGUUUUGCAUUUUUACUAGAGAUGGCAACGAGUACCGAUUUUGGUACUGGAGUAUUCGCCAAUAUUUUUUAUGGAGUACUAGGUUACUUGUUAAAAGUGGUUUCCGUAACCGGAAUAGGCAAGAAACGGCCAUAUUUAACAUUUUGUUCUCUAUUAAAGGGAGAAAAACCAGAAUCAUUAGUUGUUUCAUGGCUCCCGUAAGCAGUGAUAUGUUUCAAAACCUUUUUUUUUUGUUGGAUACAGUUGUAAAUAAUUACUUUGUGCUUAAGGGAAAACUCUAGAAUGUAAAAACAACAUAGAUGAUUUUCUAAUUUUUUAUGACAUAAGUGAUACUGUACUAAUCGGCAUAAUUACAAUAUACAGCGAUCAUGAUUUUGCAAUGAGUGAUGAGCUUACAUGCACUGUACAGUUUCCAUAACUCUGUUUUGAUUUUUACAAAAUUAUCACCCUGUUUUGACUCUUAUAUCCGUUUAAUUAACCAGGCAGUUCAAGUGACAAGGCUGUUGAAUAGCUGAGUGUUGCUGUCCUCCCAAUAGUUCUUGUUUUUAAAUUUUAUAACACAUUUAGCAUUGCUUGAUUUAGUUGUGCUAAUUCAGGAAAUUUAUUAGAAAUGUAGAUUUAAGGAGUAACGAGUGAUGGUGGUAUUGACUGUUGAUUUAUCAUAGACGGUGCUUUGUUGUUUGCCUUUAGCAAAGGUUUUGUGGGUGAAUUCGCUGACAAUGUGCAAUUUCCAUAAUAGUAGAUUAGAGGGUGAGUUUAAGGGAAUGUAUUUAUUUUUUGUUUGUUUUUCAUAUCUAAUUUUUCAGUUGUUGGUAAUACUCAAGUAAAAAGGAAACCUUAGGUAGUAUAUUUCAUGUCUCCAUACUCACUUUAAACAUAGAUAUACUGUACACAGUAUUGUUACCAUAUUACAGUGAACGAAGGAUAUUUACUAUGGCAAUAUUUAUAACAAUACAGGUGUUGAUAAGACAGUGGCAAUGCAAUAGGUAGAUACAAUUUUCCCUAAAGAAAUGACAAGAAUGGGAAUUUAAAGUUUGAGACAAUAUACAAGUUUUUGUCAGUUUAGAAAGUUAUAAUGUUACAUUGUAGAGAAAAAGUUCAAGCUAUAGGUUUACAGAAAUCUGGACCAAAUUGUAUAUUCUUAACCAUGGUAUUUGAGGACUAGGGAGUGUUAUUGUGUUUGAACUGUUGGUCCAUCUGACAUACACAUAUUUUCAGGACAUUCAUGUCCAGUUAUUGUUUUCUGUUAGUUCUGUCCCUUUUGGACUUGGCCAUAUUAGUACCACCUCUGUUCCUUGUGUACUCGACUCGUUCUGCAGUUUCCAGCCUAUUCAAGUGGAAGUUGAUAAACAUCAACAUUAAGUAGACAUGCACAUAUUGCUGGAACCUCCAUGUCAUAUUUUUUGUGGUGUUGGGGGUGAGGGGUUGGGAGUUUAGUUGACAUUAAAUUCUAUUCUGUUGAGCAUUUUAGGGGUCAUGUGUCAAACAGUGAUUAUUCUUGUUUGUUUUUUUUUUAUUUGUUUGAAAUUAAGCUACCAGUGUGAAUACUAGUAUUUUUUAGAAAACAGUACCUGAACAAGAUUUUAUUGGUUGUUGACAGAACCUUGCAGUUGAUUACAUUUUGUGUCCAGAUUUUAUAGGUAUAUUUUUUUGGUAAUACCAAGUGAUAAGUGUACAGCUAUAAUGUAUGAGAGGAAGAUAUAUAGGAAGUAGGUGAGGCAGUAUCCACUCAGUCAGGAUCUCACACCUGUAUGUUACCUUGCUAGGGGAAGAUAUACAGGAAGUAGGUGAGGCAGUAUCCACUCAGUCAGGAUCUCACACCUGUAUGUUACCUUGCUAGUGGAAGAUAUAUAGGAAGUAGGUGAGGCAGUAUCCACUCAGUCAGGAUCUCACACCUGUAUGUUACCUUGCUAGUGGAAGAUAUACAGGAAGUAGGUGAGGCAGUAUCCACUCAGUCAGGAUCUCACACCUGUAUGUUACCUUGCUAGGGGAAGAUAUAUAGGAAGUAGGUGAGGCAGUAUCCACUCAGUCAGGAUCUCAUACCUGUAUGUUACCUUGCUAGGGGAAGAUAUACAGGAAGUAGGUGAGGCAGUAUCCCCUCAGUCAGGAUCUCACACCUGUAUGUUACCUUGCUAAUACCAAACACUGUAAUGAUAUACUGCUUACACAAUAUUAAGUGGAGCAUGCAGAGUUCUAUGUUAUUUAUGAGUAGAAGUUGUGAUACAUCUCAGUUGUUACACAAGACUUGAAAUAUAGGCAAACUUCUAUCAAACGGCGAGGAUUUUGAUGUUUUGUGCAAUGUUAGAAAGUUAAGUUUACCGAGGUGGCAAAAUGUUUACAUUUUUUGUGUUAUAUAAAAAAGUGAUGCCUGAAAAUGUAUAUGUGUGUUAUAUUUUAAUUUGAUUAUAUGGGCCGUUCCAUGAGAAAACCUGUAUUAGUGAUAUAAUUUAAUAAUUAUUGCAUAAUCAGUAGUUUGAAAAACUGGAAAAUUAUUGUUUUUCUUUUGUUCAUGCAGAAACUAGAAACAAGUAUAUUGUAAUACAGUUAUCUUAGGCAAAUCAGUUAAUACAAAUAAGUUAAAUUUGUAUAGUUGUGGCAAUGGAAAUUCCAAAACACCCAUGCAUCAUGAAAAUAAAGAGGCAUAUAGGUAAAAGGCACAUGAUGAAAUCAAAACUAUACAUUAAGUUUCCUGUAAAAUCAUUUAAACUGUUCCUUGAUAUUCAAAUGUAUGAUGUUUAGUAAGUGACAGGCAUAAUGUGUUGCAUUAAGGACAUGAAAAAUACAAGCCAUGGCACAUGACGACAUCACACAGCUUUCAUGAUGUUCUUAGUAUCACGUCUUAAAAUGCCUUCGAUGACUUACUUAAAACCAUUGUAACUUUUGAAAUAUUGAAGGUUAUUACACUAAAUUUUCUUAUUUGAUUGGUAAAAGAAUGCUCUUAGUAUUUUGUGAGCUCA